AUGCGGCAACAUAGCGGUGGGUCUCCGGUCAGGGGCGAGAUUGGCGCCGGAAGCGGUCGUCGGUGUAGUUGUAGGCUUUUGGGCGGUAAGCUACGAACUUGUGGAAUAGGCGUUGUGUUUGAUCGGAGGCGCAUGGGUGGCAUUAUCUUGUUUCGCGAGUGGUGCUUGUGCAGGGUCGAGGAAGCUUGUGGUGUUGUGAUAUAG